rnacentral:rRNA from 1 species
GACGGGGGAUGCAAGCGUUAUCCGGAAUCACUGGGCGUAAAGCGUCUGUAGGUGGUGAUGCAAGUCACUGGUGCAAAACUCUGGCUCAACCGGAGGAAAGCCAGUGAAACUGCAUGACUAGAGUGUGGGAGAGGUAGAAGGAAUUCCCUGAGUAGCGGUGAAAUGCGUAGAUACAGGGAAGAACACCGGAGGCGAAAGCGCUCUACGGGAACACAAUUGACACUGAGAGACGAAAGCUAGGGGAGCGAAUGGG